rnacentral:rRNA from 1 species
UACGUAGGGGGCGAGCGUUGUCCGGAAUGAUUGGGCGUAAAGGGCGCGUAGGCGGCUAUGCAAGUCUGGAGUGAAAGUCCUAUUUUCAAGGUAGGAAUUGCUUUGGAAACUGUGUAGCUUGAGUGCAGGAGAGGUUAUCGGAAUUCCCGGUGUAGCGGUGAAAUGCGUAGAGAUCGGGAGGAACACCAGUGGCGAAGGCGGGUAACUGGACUGCAACUGACGCUGAGGCGCGAAAGUGUGGGGAGCAAACAGG